GACGAACGCUGGCGGCGUGCCUAAUACAUGCAAGUCGAACGCUUUUUCUUUCACCGGAGCUUGCUCCACCGAAAGAAAAAGAGUGGCGAACGGGUGAGUAACACGUGGGUAACCUGCCCAUCAGAAGGGGAUAACACUUGGAAACAGGUGCUAAUACCGUAUAACACUAUUUUCCGCAUGGAAGAAAGUUGAAAGGCGCUUUUGCGUCACUGAUGGAUGGACCCGCGGUGCAUUAGCUAGUUGGUGAGAUAACGGCUCACCAAGGCAACGAUGCAUAGCCGACCUGGGAGGGUGAUCGGCCACACUGGGACUGAGACGCGGCCCAGACUCCUACGGGAGGCAGCAGUAGGGAAUCUUCGGCAAUGGACGAAAGUCUGACCGAGCAACGCCGCGUGAGUGAAGAAGGUUUUCGGAUCGUAAAACUCUGUUGUUAGAGAAGAACAAGGAUGAGAGUAGAACGUUCGAUGACGGUACCUGAGAAGAAAGCCCCGGCUAACUACGUGCCAGCAGCCGCGGAAA
rnacentral:rRNA from 1 species